GAUAGUCGUAAUUAAAUAUUUUGGAUAGAUUUAAUUUUUGAAUGAAACACUUCCUUCUCGUUCAUUGCAUUAUCUGUUGCACUUCAAAUGCACAUAUUUAUGUUUAUCUGUUGUAGGGUUGCCAUACAACAAGUAUUAUUCGAAAUUGUAGGUAUUUUGGCUGUCAUUCCAGGAAAACUUUGUAUAGUUUUGAUAUACUUUAAGUAUUGAUUUUUGGAAAAUAUAAUAUUUUAGAGACAUGAUAACAAAUGUUAUCAUAGGUUUUUUAAGGCUGUUCUGGAAUGAUAUUUGUUAGGUUUUGUUUACUUCAAGGUCUGAUACAGAAACUGGAGUAAUUUUCAUUUAAUGAAUUAGAGUAUUUUAUUGUUUAUUCGUUUGCCACCCGGCUUUUGUUUUGGGUCCUUUAAAUUCGAGAUCAUUCAGUGCGCCGUUCUUUCUGUGACGAGAUCCUCUUGUAUAGUGAUCGGACGGCCGUAUAAGGGCCUGGAGCCCGGCAUGCCACGUGCUGCCGUGGCGUUCCAUAUUUUGUGUGGUGCGUUCUGUCAGUCUGACUGGCAGAAACAUGCUAAGGGUGGGAGUGCUCCUUGGAGAUCCUCGGUCUGCAGUCUGCAGGUCUCCGGAGUCGGGAAGAAGUAAAGAAUUAGAGAAUUGCAGAAGUA